rnacentral:lncRNA from 1 species
AUUGGAAGGCUGCUGUGUCCCUUCCUUUGCUUAUUGCUGAUCGAUUGUACCUAAUUGACUUGCUUGGGGUACUCUGCCUCUUAAAUUCAAGUCCUACAUCUUUGGAGCAUUUGUUGCACUUUUGGACUGCAUUGAUUCUGAAAUUGACUACAUUGGGACCGCAAGUGCUUAUUGAUUGCCAUUGCUAUAAGUGUUAGGGUAUUUGUAUG